rnacentral:misc_RNA from 1 species
UUUUUCCYUGGUGUUCCAACCCGGUAACCAGACAAUCCCCCUCGGCGUCGAGCUCAAACGCCUUCGGCAUUUGGGCACGGCGGAGGGCUCGGAACGAGCUUUCCGGAAAGUACUCAUGGGCCCCGUGAGUCCAUCGGGAUCGAAAGUUAAGCGCGUGAACGCAGAGACGCGCGGAUUGCGUUUAUUGAGAAAUUGUAUUUUUUCGUAUUUUCGUCGUACAUAAGUAACAUCGCGUUAAGUGCGCGACGGGUCCUUUUAGAGCGAGAAGUUGAACAUUCCGGACACUCUCGAGGGGAGAAAGCGAUUCGCUUCAAGUAAAUACGCAAUGCGUAACAUGAA